rnacentral:rRNA from 1 species
GGAAUAUUGCACAAUGGGGGAAACCCUGAUGCAGCGAUGCCGCGUGGAGGAAGAAGGUUUUCGGAUUGUAAACUCCUGUCUUAAAGGACGAUAAUGACGGUACUUUAGGAGGAAGCUCCGGCUAACUACGUGCCAGCAGCCGCGGUAAUACGUAGGGAGCGAGCGUUGUCCGGAAUUACUGGGUGUAAAGGGAGCGUAGGCGGGACUGCAAGUCAGAUGUGAAAUGCCGGGGCUUAACCCCGGAGCUGCAUUUGAAACUGUGGUUCUUGAGUGAAGUAGAGGCAAGCGGAAUUCCUGGUGUAGCGGUGAAAUGCGUAGAUAUCAGGAGGAACACCGGUGGCGAAGGCGGCUUGCUGGGCUUUUACUGACGCUGAGGCUCGAAAGCGUGGGUAGCAAACA